CCGCCCCCCAGUGAGCCAGGUGACCCCCAGAACAGCGCAAUCCUGCCUACUUGUGGUGUGGGAGCCCUGAUCGUCCCCUUUCCUCCCUCCUCCUCCUCCUCCUCCUCUUCCCCCUCCAGCAUAGAAGAGACGUUUAAUAAGCUGGUGGACAGCGCUUCCUCCGCCCCCCUGUCAGAUAUGGAGGGGUUGGGGAAAGGAUGCCGUGUCCCUGAGUCUGCCCCUGACUGGCCAGCUGACGCCCAUUGAUAUCUCCAUGGCCGUGGUGAGGCAGGAGAGGACUCAAGGAUGGAGAGCUUAGGAUACCACACGGAGGAGGGUGAAGGAGCCUUGGGGAAGCCUGAAGAAGGGGCAGUGAAGGAGGGAGGCCUGGAGGUGAAGGAAAUGCAGAAAAUUCCUCUAAUAGUGAGCGCUUCGCUGGUCAGACCAUCCCUCACUGAAUAUUUUGACCGAGGCUUCGAGAUACGAGAUGAGAAUCCGUUUUUUAGUAGUUUAAGCCAGUUUUAUGUGUUUUUGGGUGUUUGUAGAUUGUUUUUAUCUUGUUUUGAGUAUUUUUUUGGUUUGUGAAAGGAGGGAGAAAGCUUAAAUACAGUAAUAAUACCGAAAAAAAGGCUUAAAUUGAGAGUUUUAAAGUUAUCUUAGCGUAUAUUAAGCUGUUUUAAAUGUUUUAAGUUACCAGAAGAGAGGAAGCUUAAAUUUAAUAUUAGGAUAAGGAAAAAGCUUAUUUCUUGCAUUAGGAAGAAAGGAAAGCUUAAUAUUGCCACCUCAUCCCCCCAGCCCCCAGUGAGCCAGGUGACCCCCUAGAACAACGCCAUCCUGCCUAUUUGUGGUGUGGCAGCCCAGAUCGUCCCCCUCCCUCCCUCAUCCUCCUCCUCCUCUAGCAAAGAAGAGACGUUUAAUCAGCUAGUGGACAGGUUGUUGUUGUUGUUGUUAUUGUUGUUGUGGGGGUGGCGGUGGUAGUAGUGGCGGCGGUGGUUGUUCGUCUCUCUCUCUCUCUCUCUCUCUCUCUCUCUCUCUCUCUCAGGCGGUGGUGGGGGGGCGGGAGGGCGUAGUCUCGAGGAGGCUGGCAGAGGUUAUGGAAGGGUCCUGGUAUGCUCCCUCUCCCUCACUCCCUCGCUCCCUCCUUGGGCUCUCUCCGGAACAAGUAGCGGCGUGGCUGGAAGUGGGCGGAAGUUUAGCAGGCUUCUCUAAGAUUGGGCUGGAAGAUAGCGGAAGAGGAGACGUGGCACAUGACAAGGCAAUACAGGGCUUACAGAGGGCAGGCGUGACUGGGCCCUGCCUCGCCGCCCUUGUCAACACCCUAGAGAGAAAUACGCUCACCUUGUAGAGAGGAUAUAUUUUCAUUUUCUUUCGUUGUAUAUAUAUAUUUUUUUUUAUUUAUUAUUAAAAGGAAUAUUUUCUUUUUUCUAUUUUUCGUUCGUUUUAUAAUGGAUUGUUUAAUUUUAUCUAUAUUUGUUUACAUUUUUUAUCAAUUUCUUUCGAUUUUAUAUUCAGUUUAUUUAUUUAUCAUUAUUUCUUAAGAUAAUUUCUUUAUUUUCUUUAUUUUUCGCUCGUUUUCAUAAUGGGAGUGUUCAAUUUUUAUAUAUUUUUCAAUCGUAAUUUAAUAUCUUAGACUUAAUAUCCAAUUUAUUGAUUUAUUAUUACUUCUAAGUGUGUGUAAGUACUUAAAAGUUUAAUUUAAUUAUUUAUUUAUUUAUUUUUAUUUUCCGUCCGUUUUUAUUAUAUUGGAAACUUAUUUCAUAUAUAUUCCAGUUUUGUUUCUUGUUCAUGCC